rnacentral:lncRNA from 1 species
CUGACAUAUUGAUUCUUUGAAAAGAAAUUUAGAACUCAUAUCUAACAUGGGAGAGUGGGAAGAGGAAGAAGAUACAAAUGACCAGUACCAGGACUGAAAGGGAGAUAUCACUGCAGACCCUACAGACAUUAAAAAGGCUAAUAAGGGAAUACAAUAAACAAUUUUAUGCAUACAAAUUCAACAGUUUAGAUGAGAUGGACAAAUUCCUUGGAAAUUAUAAAUGCCAAAAGUCACCCCAAACUGAAUUUUUAGUGACUGGAGGCAUUUAUCUCAGUGGACUCUCCAGACUUUAUUCAAAGCCAUUGCCUGCUUCCAUCAAGCUUAGUCUUGAAUCUUUACCAAUGUUUGAUUUAUUCCUCUUACUUUUUUUUCUAUUAACUUUGAAUACCAUCCCUCCUCCUUUCCAAGACUUUAUUUAUUGUGAGUGAUAAUUGACAUAACCUUCAGGAACCUCAGAAACCUUAGGCAUCUGCAGAAACAUUUUGAAGCAUAUCAGACUAGCCUAUCUUUCUAGAAACCCGAUUCCCAUUCCCCUCUGCCAAACCCCUCAGCGGCGAUGUGUAUACUUUGUAUUAGUGCAUAUUCAGGAAGGUUCAAAGCACUUGUCUGCUACUCUUUGCAUGGCCACACCCUCAGUCAAGGGCCUUUCUGCUUCCAGCAUCAUUACAGAUGGAUUUGAGGCUUUGGGCUAUCUCCAGGGGAGCCAUCUCCUCCAGGUUUUUGUUCCCUUUUCUGACUCAGAACUUAACCAUUCUGGCAAAACUUUCUGUGGUGUGGCCAUAGUUACAGUACAGCGUUUGCAUUCUAUGGGUCUUACAACACUAUCCCCCAAAUCCACCAAUUUUCAGUAGCAUGUAGCUUGUCUCAUAAGCUUUAUUUCCUGCUUUAAAGGAUGAACAGUCCUCAGAGGAACCAAGUUCCUUGCCCAAAUAAUUUUGGCAAGGCUAAGACACUGAAGGACAUCUAUACGCCUUGUUUUCUCAUACAUCUUAGGCCUGUAAAUUCUGGUUUAUGGGUUCACAUCCAGAGUCCCUCCUUUCUUUCCAGCUUUCCAAUUAGUUUCUGUUAAUUUAUAUGGUAGAAAAUACAUAUUUCAAAGACGUAGUUCUUAGCUCUGUCUCAAAGUGCUUAAGCAGUUUUUAUCAAUUUCUUCUUAUUUGGGAGUGGUAUCCCCAAGCUAAUACCGCCUGUGAGGGAAAAAUAUAUACUCUUAGGCAACAUUUUGCUAGUAGCUUGAUAAUCAUAAGAGUGUCUUCUUGCUAGCAAUAUUUUGAGUACAACAGCAACAGAGUGUGCAAUGGAUUCACUGGUUAAGCCAAAAAGUUAUAAUGUUUGAACCUCCCAAGGGCCACCUCCAUAUUUAAUAUGAAUUUCUUUAAACCACCAGAGCUGGGCCUCAUUUCUCCCAUACUCUGUGGGAGUUCUGACUUUCAUCCAAGAUCUUCCCUAUGACUUUAAGAGCAGAAAGACAUGGUCCUUGUGGUGUCUCCCAAACUGGACUCCUCUUAGUUACAAGUGGACUAUGACUGACUUAUUAAAAUGAUCCUCAUCUUUCCAGAAACACUUGAAUGCUGCCACCAGUAUAUUUUUUAGCUGAGACCUUCCUCUUCCUUUUUUCCCCAUAACCAGAAUCUGUGGUCUGUGCUAACAUUGCUUCUCCAUGAAAAUUUCACUCCCACUCCACUCUUUCUACCUUUCUGCAGAUGCCUGCACUUUCACCGCAAAUCAUGAAAUGAUUACAUAUUUUUAACAGCAUUAUUGAGAUUAAAUUUAUUUACCAUAAAGCUCACCCAGGUAGCAGUGGCUGCCAGCUAUACCCUUUCAUAGAAUUAGCCUUUUCUUUAGGCUUUGCUCUUCUCAAAACAAAUACUUCCCUUUUUGUUCUCUUGUUUCCUCUUGUAAGUCCCUAGGAUUAUUAAACAUAGGGCUUGAAUUUCACUUUGAAAUGUUUUCCACGUUUGUGGUAAUAAUGUCACCUGAGGGUUUCUACUAGAUUAAGUAAAGGAAGAAACAGAGUGGGAGGGGAAUGAAGUGUGACAAACUCUCUUAUAAAAGAUAAGGCAAAAAUGGCAGUCAAUUAUUGUUUCUGAUAAAUGUAAUGUCAUCCAAUAAUUUAUAGUAAUUCUGAGAACUAUAGCCAGUAAAAUGAAUUUGCAUAGUCUGUCUUCUUUAGGACACUGAUUUUCAAACUUGAAUGCACACUGGAAUCACCCGAGGAAUUUAAAAAAACACCGACACCUGGAUCCCACACAAGGACCCUGAUUUAAAUGGAUAAUCCUCACCAGCCUCAGAGUUCAUGUCUGAAAGUAUAGAGGCGGCAGAUAACCAAUGCAAGUGAACAUGGGUGAAAAUGGAUGAAAGUCCAUCUGGGCUGUCUGCAAAAUGAGAAGAUUCUAGACACUGUUUCUUAAAUACCUUGGAGGCGAGGAUCACAAAAUGCUCUCAGAAGUUUAUGAAAGCUAUGGAGUCUCCGGAAAUAUUCAGAAUUUUGCAUGUAAUUUUCAUAGAUUGCAGAUUCCCUGAAGAACACCAGUAGUUGAGGACUCCUAGAACCCAGGUUCUGGAUGAAGCCUUCCACCAUUUUAAAGCUCCUUUUAUGGAUAUUUCUGGUUUUGGUCUCAGAUUUUCAUUCUCCAAACAUUCUCUUUAGAUGACCACAUUCACUUUCAAGUAUUCAUGCCAAAUAAAUCUUCAUUUCCAGCCCAGACCUCCCUCCAAACUCUUGGUUUGUUUAGUCACUUGCAACACAGAUUAUUCAUCCAGAUUUCCAUGGGCAUCUCAAAAUCAACACAUCCAAAAUGAAGUUAUCAUCCCUGAUAAUCCUCCUAGCUCCUGUCCCAUUCAUCUCCCUCCCAUCUCUCACCCAUAAAGAAUUAACUACUGAUGUUUCUCACUAACCAACCCAUAAUAAUGACCUGCAUUAAUUAAUCCAUGUGCAAUUCAGAAUUACUUACAUUCAUUUAUCCAUGUGAUAUUUUCACUCAUUAAUCACCAUCGUCUGCAUAUGUAAACAGGAACAACAACAUCCACCUAUCCCAGCAGGGGUUUUGCAAUUACUUUAAAGCCUUUUCAAAUAUAUUUUUGUGUGAUUAAAAUGAUGGAGAUAUUUCAAAUGAAUUCAAGUAUAAAAUGCAAAAUAUUCCAACUUCAUAAACUGUUUACUUCUGGCUUAGAAAAUGUUAAUAUUUUUACUCAACCCAUCUGGCUCUGGAGAUGCUGUGUGUGCUUGAUAAUUGUAUGUGAAAAUUAUUAUUUGCAUCUUUAAAAAUUACUUGAGGAAUGCUAUUUAUUAAACUUGUUAUUCCUAUCUAUUUUUUGACAACAUAAUACAACUUUAAAUUCAAAAGAAAAAUUGACAAGACAUAUUUUAGCAGUUUAAAAUGAACAUCACAGAUACAAAAUGAUCAAAGUAAAAUAUUAUUAGCUGUAGAUGACUCAAAUAUUUCCUCGUCUUACUGUCUUUUGUUUUGAUGUGAUUUCCUUCCAUCCUUAAAAAAUCCUGUAGCACCAUCUGCUCCUAUAACACUUUGGCAUGCUUAAAAAUUUCAUUUCCAGACUCGGCAGUUUUGAAAUACUUCCAUGGACAUUUCUUAAAGAAAAUAAGUUGGAAGAAUUUCCAUUCCUCCCAGCUUGUUUCUUAAUAAACAGCAGACGAAGUACUCAAGAAACACAGAGCUAUAUAAAUGUUUUGUUAUAAUCAGACAUUUCCCUUCUGAUUUUCCCUCUGACCCUGUGGCUAUAUUAUGCCUGAGGAAACAGUAUUUUAUAUGCUAUGUGCACAGUUUAUGCAACAAUUUUUUAAUAUGCAGAUCUGGUUUUAUAAUCUGAAUUCUAAAAUGUAAUGAAUUUCCAUGAAGUGUAUGUUUCAUGGAUAAGCCAGCAUUUAAUAAAUGACUAGAUUACCCAAACACUCCAAGGGAAGUUGGAGACUAAGCAAGUAAUAUCAGUAAAAAUAAUCCAAUAAACUAAAUAGAUUCUCCUUCUACGAAAUUUAACCAUACAUUUAGAAAAAAUUAGACUUCCAGUUUUUGACAGCGGUAAUGGAAAAUUAAGUGGCUCAUUUUUUCAAUGUGUAUGACUCCAAGUCGUUGAAACUGAUACAGAAGUAUAAAUAAGAGGUAUUAAGUGAUGCUGAAACUGUGGUAGGAGAAAUAGCAAUGGACUAAUGGCCUCCUCAGGGAAGCCUAAAUAUAGGUGUUGCAUUGUUUACAAAUAUAUUCAUCCUUUUAGUCACUUAUUCAGCAUAUAUCAAACACCUACUAUGUCUAGAUUUCAUGUUAGUUUCUGCAAUGAAUCAAUAAUUUCCUUGUCAUUUUAAAAUAAUAUUUAUCUAUCAUCUUAGAGAUGCAACUUGGUCCCCUUCAUCCAGCAAUUUCUACUCUAACCCGUUUUUCACAUAAUAGCCAGAGUAAAUUUUGUAAAGUUACAAUUGUAUUGUAGGAUAAAGGUCUAACUCCUUAAUGUGGUUUACAAUGCCCUUUACAAAAGUCUCACUUUUACUUACCCUCUUAGUCUCUGCCUUUCUACACUUACUGUCUAGCCAUACUGAAUUACUUCGCUGUCACUCGAGACUUAGUUCUUUGCAUGCUCUUUCCUCCACCAAAAAUAUUUUUUUUUCUCCUCUCCUUACCUGGCUUCUUUUUUAAAAACUUUUAUUUAUUUAUUUAUUU